ACAAUGAAAAGAUGCCCCACACUUGUCCCAAUUCCAUUGUCAUUGUUCUAUCUUUUUCUUCAUCAUACAUAAUUCUGCCUCAGUCAAUCACUAUUCACUAAUAAUAUCUCAGUGAGUGAGUGAACGGGAUGGAUCAGCCUGCUUCUUCAUCUAGCAGCUCUGCAACUGAUCGCUUUUCUCGUGUCCUUGAGGAGGUGGAGCUGCGAUUCAGGAAGGUUGAGAAUUAAUUUGAGGACUGAAAAUUUGCUGCUUCCUUUUAUAGGGAGCCACCAGACCAGGACAUGAUCAACACUUUCAGAGAUCAAAUCCAGGCCUUCCAAGUGGAAUUUAGGUUGGUGACGGUGUUUCACAAUAUGGUGGACAAGUUGAGAUCUGGUGUUUAGGGAAGCUAAUGUCCCCCAAUGUUUGAAAUUGAAGCUUCCCUGUUCUUUAAAGUUGAAGCUGCAAUCAACGAGACUGUAGAGGAACUUAAUGAGUGCUCGCAAGAUUAAUAAGGUUUCCAAACUGGUCCUUGUGUUUACCAACUUGUUGAAAAAGAUGGAGCUUAGAAUCCAUUUAUUGAGGAGGUUCUGUGAGUCUGUGACUAUUUGCAGAAGAAACACUUCCUGGAGGUUGAGUACAAAUAUGAUUGUUGGAAUGAGUUCCAUCAGUGACUUGGGUUGCUCAAUUCUAUCAGAGAGAAUCUUCAGAUCCUAUCAGAGAAAGCUGAUUUGCCCCUUGAAGGAGAACUCAAAGUCUUCCUAGAGAAGAUAAGUGCUCUCAUUGAUUUAUUUGUCACUCUAUCAAGGGCUAGGACUGGCAAACCUAAUCUCAGCGCAGCUCUGAGGAUUCAUGUUGGAAUUGUGGCUAUACGUGUAGUGAAUCUGCCUUGGUUGUGCUGUCUAAGGAGAACAAAAAUGGAUCAAAGUGUGGCAGAAGAUAUGUGUAAUGCCUUUUCACAUCUUCAAUAUAAGGUCAGCUAUCAGCAGUGGAAGUAUUUCUUUCUGAUCUUCUCCAUGAGGGACAGGUUGCUGAAGUUAAGUGGGAGCUGUUGUGCCUGAUACAAUCUUAUAAUUGACUUAUGAGCAAAGGGCAAAAAGAUUGCUGAACAUGUCUUUCCAGAUAUUGCAGUCAUGGUUAGGCGGGUAGGGUGUCUCAAGAACUCAUUAAGUGAAGAAGGUGGACCUGAUCUUUCAUGUUUCAACUUGGUUCUGAUGAUUUAUCUUCUCAGGACAGAGCUUUUCUUCAUUGAACAACUGAGCCAUAGUCGGAUGAAAAGGAAUUUCAACAUUUUUUUUCAGGAUACAACAUAUCUCAAGAAGUCUUUGCAAGAUCAAGUUGAAGUCCUCCAUUUGCACAUGAGAUCCUUAAGUAGCAAAUUUGCAGGUCCACCAGAAGUGAACAUGCAAAAUUGGAAACAGCUAUUCAAACACUUCGAAGACGUGGCUAAGGAGCUGGAUUCAUUUAAAAAGUCCUUCAAUCCCACAAUUCUUACCAGGAACGAGGCAAGGAGUGUGUUCAGAUUGCUUCUGAGGAUUUUGGUAUUUAAGGGAGAAGUAUAUUUAAUGGAUCUCAAAAACAGUAAUGAAGUUUUGAUUCUUCCAGUGAAGGAUCAAAUUGGAACCCUCAGUUCCCUUGUAGCAUCAAUGACAAUUAUGCCUAGCCGCCUAGGAAACUCAUCUUCGGAGACUUUGAGAAGGUCACAGACAAUGAAACACCAAUCUUGAUGCAUUUUGAAUCAGUGGCCAGGCAGGUUUUAUCUUUCUGUCAUUCCUUUAAUUCUGUCAAAUUCACGGGAUGCAUGAAGAAGGAAAUGUUCGAGUUUGAUCCAGAAAAUAAAGCAAAUAGUUGAUGAGAUUGAUGUGAAGUUUCCUCGUAUCAAAUUCCCUAAGAUUAAUGGACUAGGAUUCGUUGAUAUUCUCUUGAUAAAGCUACAAGAGUUGCUGAAAAUUGACUCUGAUUCAAUUCUUUCUCAAAGAACACAUUGAGGAAAUCCUAGAGAAUCUGCGAUUCUUGAGAUCUUUCCUCGGGGAGCAGGACUUCACACAUCCAGAAUGGCAAAAUCUGGGAACAAGUCUAGUAGAUGCAGCUUAUAGGGUAAAAUUCAUCAUUGACUCAACUCUGAGCUGCAAUGGAUCUGAAAGGCAAAAUUUGUUACGGCUUUACCAUGCCUCAGAAAAUAUUAGACAUUUCAAGGAGCUGGUGGCUGACUUUCAAGGGGAGGCAUUUGAUGUGGAAGCCAAUAAGUGCUAAGCAAGCUAUGGGUCGUGAAAUCUCAUAGAUGAGUACCUUUGAAAUAAGUAAAGAUGUGGUGGUCUCCUAAAUGAUUAUCAACAAAUCAUAGUUGAUCGACUCACCCGAGGAUCAUCACAGCUGGAAAUAGUUUCAAUUGUUGGAAUGCCAAGAAUUGGUGAGACAACCCUGGCCAAUAAAGUGUAUCAUGAUCCUGAAGUUGUGCAUUACUUCCACAUUCGUGCAUGGUGUAAUGUUUCACAAGUUAUACACAAAAAGAGACUUGUUGCUUGAAGUUUUAUGGCACAUUAAAGAGCUUGCAGAUAAUAUCUUGACAAUGACCAAUGAAGAUUUGGAGUUAGUUCUCUUUAAACACUUGAAGAGAAAUCUUUAUUUAUCAUUUUGGAUGAUGUGUGGAGUAUCAGGCCAUGGAAUGACUUGAAGAUCUCAUUUCUAGAAAACAGGAAUGGAAGUAGAGUUCAAAUAACAAGUCGUCUCCAUGACAUGGCAUCAAAACUCACCCUUGAAUGUAAUCUUUGUCAUCUUCAUCCAUUCUCUGGUGUUGAAAGCUAGGAGCUACUACAGAGGAAGAUAUAUCCCAAACUAAGGAACUAUGGGAAUUUGGAAAGGAUAUUGCUAGAAAAUGCGAAGGAUUACCUCUUUCUGUUGUUGCAAUAGCCAGUCUGCUUCAAGGAACACACACGAAACCAGAGUCGUGGAAGCAAAUUGCAGAGAGUUUGAACUCAAUCAUACUAAAUGAUCCACAAACUCGGUGCAUGGACAUCUUAGAAUUGAGUUACAAUCACAUGUCAGAUUAUCUGAAAGCAUGCUUUCUUUAUUUUGGAACAUUUCAGGGGAUAAAGAGGUUGGUGUUCGAAGACCAAUAAUGUUAUGCGUGGCUGAAGGAUGAUACAGAAAAAGAAGUCAAAGAUCUUAGAGGAUCUUGCUGAAGAUAACUUGAUGGAUCAGGUUGGUAGAAACUUAAUAAUGGUUUCAAAAAGAAGAUCAAAUGGUGGUGCCAAAGCAUGUUGGAUUCAUGAUAUGAGGGGUCAUAUUUCAACAAUCGGUUGGCUAGAAAAUCUUGAGGUUCUCAAGUUACUUUCUUCAACUUUUGAGGAUACAAAAUGGGAGAUGAUGGAAGGGGAGUUCCCACAGCUCAAAUUCUUGGAAGUUAGACAGUCUGAACAUUGUUGAAUGGAAUGCCACCUGUGAUGACUUGCCUAAUCUUCGGCAUCUAGUCUUGAGAAAGUGCUAGUUUCUCAAGGAAGUUCCAAUUGAUUUCGUGAAUAUCCCAACAUUGCAGCUAAUUGAAGUGCAGGGCUCUGGAGAUUCAAUUGAAAAGGCAAUCAGACGACUCAAGGAGGAGCAACUUGAAUAUGGAAUUGAAAUUUGAAGGUCAUUGUCAAUCAUUAGAUGAAAAUUGCAGAUCUUCAUUGCCUUAUGUUGAUCUUUGCAUGCUUCAUAUCGUAUUGGCAAGUAAGUGGACUCGUCUUUGUUGAUCAUUUUACCUCAUUUUUACAAUUGAUGAUUCGUUAUCAACUUUCGUAAUUGGACACUGGCCAAUAUAAGGUCACUUGAUAAAUUUCAACUUCAAGCUGUAAACUUUCUGUUUUCUCCUUUUUGCACAAGUAGCACAAUUCUGCUGAUGUCUUAAUUGCUGUUGUCCUUGUUUCACAGUGUGUUUUUGUAGCUGAUGAACUGGUUCUUGAUCAACUCUAAAUUAUUCGAAGGAAUUGUUCUUGUUAAUUUUCCUUUCAUGGCUAUUCUCAUGGAAACAUGUCCAUAAAUUAUAGGCAGAUUAAGACAGAAAUUUCAGCAAGAGUGAUCAUGUGUAAAAAUGGAAGCAAAAGCGGCAUCCCACAUGUAAAAUGUCUAAAACCAGGAAAAUGAGACGCCACUACACUUGCCCCUUACAUAGUUUCCAUUUCAAAAGCAUCAUUUUUAUCUGGAACGAUGUGGUACAUUUGAUUUAUUGUUCUGCCACAUUACCUCUCCCUUCUUGAAGGAGCUUUACAUCAAUGGUUGUAUUCUAGUGAAGUACUAUAAUUAGAUGAGUCAACUUUGUAGCCACAAUAAUAACAAUGAUGUAAUCUUGAUUUCUAUUUAAUUCGUCUUACCAGUUUUUGCAGUUAUUAGCAUUGCUGUAUAGCUGGUCAAAUCUGGGUGCAAAAGCACCAGUACUCUUCAUGUACUCCAAGAACAUGUGUAUGUAUCCUAAGAAAUUGAUGAAACUAAUCAUAACAGUGAUUAACUAAAAA